UGUCUUCGGCAUUCUUUGGAGAAAACCUCCAGGAAAAGCGGAAGCGAAACUAACGGAAAAGCGGAAGAAAAACUAACAAGCGAAGAUGAACAAGUUCCUGUUUAUAGUCGUCGUUAUGGGGAUUAUUUUGUUAGAAAGUAGCGAAGGUCGUUACGCGAAAAUCAAAGGACGUGAUAAAUAUAACUUGAAACGAAGACAGUUAACAUCUACUCUGGUAUCAAUAUUUAUGGAUUACAUUAAAAAUGCGUUUGAAAAUAUAGUUUAUCAGAUGAUGAAAGAUAGAAAAUUGAAGAAAACUCCAUGACUGGAAUUAAAGGAGUUUGACUCCGAGGUGGACCGAUUAUCGGCGAUCUUCCGUCUUCGCUUCUUUAACAUCCGUUGGAUCGUCCGAAAAGAUUUGUAAUUUGAAUAUUCAAAUAUGAAUAAAGAACAUUUGAACUGGAGAUUAUUCUGGCUUUGAUUAUG